GACGAACCGUGCGAACGUUAUUCGGAAUCACUGGGCUUAAAGCGCGUGUAGGCGGAAGGGCACGUCCGUCGCUGAAAUCCCCCGGCUCAACCGGGGAACGGGCGCGGAUACGACCUUCCUGGAGGGGCGUAGGGGGACCUGGAACUUCCGGUGGAGCGGUGAAAUGCGUUGAGAUCGGAAGGAACGCCCGUGGCGAAAGCGAGGUCCUGGACGCCUACUGACGCUGAGACGCGAAAGCCAGGGGAGCGAACGGG
rnacentral:rRNA from 1 species